AGUGAACGCUGGCGGUAGGCCUAACGCAUGCAAGUCGAACGGCAGCACAGUAAGAGCUUGCUCUUACGGGUGGCGAGUGGCGGACGGGUGAGGAAUACAUCGGAAUCUACUUUUUCGUGGGGGAUAACGUAGGGAAACUUACGCUAAUACCGCAUACGACCUACGGGUGAAAGCAGGGGAUCUUCGGACCUUGCGCGAUUGAAUGAGCCGAUGCCGGAUUAGCUAGUUGGCGGGGUAAAGGCCCACCAAGGCGAUGAUCCGUAGCUGGUCUGAGAGGAUGAUCAGCCACACUGGAACUGAGACACGGUCCAGACUCCUACGGGAGGCAGCAGUGGGGAAUAUUGGACAAUGGGCGCAAGCCUGAUCCAGCCAUACCGCGUGGGUGAAGAAGGCCUUCGGGUUGUAAAGCCCUUUUGUUGGGAAAGAAAAGCAGCAGGUUAAUACCCCGCUGUUCUGACGGUACCCAAAGAAUAAGCACCGGCUAACUUCGUG
rnacentral:rRNA from 1 species